GAUGAAUGCUAGCGGCAGGCUUAAUACAUGCAAGUCGAGGGGCAGCAUGAUUGUAGCAAUACAAUUGAUGGCGACCGGCAAACGGGUGCGGAACACGUACACAACCUUCCAACAAGUGGGGGAUAGCCCAGAGAAAUUUGGAUUAAUACCCCGUAACAUAGCGAUGUGGCAUCACAUUGCUAUUAUAGAUUUUUCGCUUGUUGAUGGGUGUGCGGCUGAUUAGAUAGUUGGCGGGGUAACGGCCCACCAAGUCUACGAUCAGUAGCUGAUGUGAGAGCAUGAUCAGCCACACGGGCACUGAGACACGGGCCCGACUCCUACGGGAGGCAGCAGUAAGGAAUAUUGGACAAUGGACGCAAGUCUGAUCCAGCCAUGCCGCGUGAAGGAUUAAGGUCCUCUGGAUUGUAAACUUCUUUUAUAAGGGACGAAAAAAGGCUUUUCUAAGUCGUCUGACGGUACCUUAUGAAUAAGCACCGGCUAACUCCGUGCCAGCAGCCGCCGUAACAC
rnacentral:rRNA from 1 species